AUUGAACGCUGGCGGCAGGCCUAACACAUGCAAGUCGAACGAGUGGCGGACGGGUGAGUAAUGUCUGGGAAACUGCCUGAUGGAGGGGGAUAACUACUGGAAACGGUAGCUAAUACCGCAUACCAUCGGAUGUGCCCAGCUGGGAUUAGCUAGUAGGUGGGGGAACGGCUCACCUAGGCGACGAUCCCUAGCUGGUAUGAGAGGAUGACCAGCCACACUGGAACUGAGACACGAUCCAGACUCCCACGGUAGGUAGCAGUGGGGAAUAUUGCACAAUGGGCACAGGCCUGAUGCCGCCAUGGCGCGUGUAUGAAGAGGGCCUUCGGGUUGUAAAGUGCUUUCAGCGGGAAGGCGUUACCCGCAGACGAAGCACCGGCUAACUCCGUGCCAGCCGCCGCGGUAAUAC
rnacentral:rRNA from 1 species